UUAAAUGUGAUCACAAACAAACGUUUUAAAGUGUAGACUUAAUCAGGAAUGUUCCAUAAGUUCUCUCAUCAUUUAUCAGCAUUACCUCAAGAAAAAUGAGAUUUCCAUAUGUACUAGCUGUAUAUGUUAUAGUCUGUUCAGGACUUCAGCACUUAUUCCAUCCAAAUUUCAAAGCAAAACACGUCACAUUCGUAAUAGAUAGUCAUAAUAUUACUUAUGACUUUCUUUCGAAAAAAAUUCCAUCUGGAGGAAGGUCGAUGGGAAAGCAUACCUAUAUAGUUGUCUUAAAGAGAAACAACAAUGACGUCGAAUUAUUUUAUCAGGAGUUAGAGUCCUUAGUAUCACGUAAGAUUACAAACAGAGCUUGUCGAAAGCAGAACAAAAUGCCGAAGCAGAACAAAAUGCCGAGAUCCAAAGGCAUAUGCAAACAACCUAGGCCUCCAUAUUGGAUUUGUUCUUUUCAAAUGAAUGAGUUGAAAACAGAAUCGUAUCUAGCCGAGUUCUACGUUCAAGACAGAGGGUCUUGUAAAUUUUCAGUAAACGGCAUGUUUGAGUUGGGAGGAGAAAUGGUGACACAAAACAGUAUUUAUGUGGACCACCUCGAAAAGUCCUCGUUAGAUUCCAAUACCAAAAGAUUUUGCGUUUAAAAAAGCCAAAACGGGGGUAGCUGACUACUACUUACUACAUGUCUAAAUGAAUAAUAAUAAUAACCCGUUUGGUAGCAAUUUUCAGUUGGAUAAAAUAGACAGUUGUACUAAUUUCUUAUACUCUUUUCUCGAAUAUCAUUUUUUGUAUCAUUCUUCAUGUUAAAAAUUCAACUCAUCCAUUUCAUUCAAUGUUUCUAUUGUAUUCUGUGCACAGGAGUGAUUUAUCAACAUAACAGUAACAACAUCGUCGGAAACCCACGGCCAGUCUCCCAUAUGCGAGACUGGCCUUGGGUUUCCGACGAUAGCAAAAAGUGGUGGAAGCAAAAACUCGGGACAGAGUAUAGUCUUUUUCAUAAAAAUAAAAUACAUGUAUCAUUUUUCGAUUGAAAACUCAUUCACCAGUGAAUAUUGCUUAUAUUAUUACAACAAUUAUUCUUUGAUGAUUAUUGUUUGUUAAUUAUUACAU